rnacentral:rRNA from 1 species
GACGAACGCUGGCGGCGUGCUUAACACAUGCAAGUCGAACGUGAUUUUUGUGGAAAUUCUUUCGGGAAUGGAGAUGAAAUGAAAGUGGCGAACGGGUGAGUAACACGUGAGCAACCUACCUUACACAGGGGGAUAGCCGUUGGAAACGACGAUUAAUACCGCAUGAGACCACAGAAUCGCAUGAUAUAGGGGUCAAAGAUUUAUCGGUGUAAGAAGGGCUCGCGUCUGAUUAGCUAGUUGGAAGGGUAAAGGCCUACCAAGGCGACGAUCAGUAGCCGGUCUGAGAGGAUGAACGGCCACAUUGGAACUGAGACACGGUCCAAACUCCUACGGGAGGCAGCAGUGGGGAAUAUUGCACAAUGGGGGGAACCCUGAUGCAGCGACGCCGCGUGAGCGAAGAAGGUUUUCGAAUCGUAAAGCUCUGUCCUAUGAGAAGAUAAUGACGGUAUCAUAGGAGGAAGCCCCGGCUAAAUACGUG